ACAUCUCAACUCCUCACGGUUUACCCGUGAUGAGCUUGGACUUUGGGGGUCUUGCUGGCCUGCAGGUCGGCUCCUCUCAAAUGAAUCAGCUUGCCGGUGUUUGGUGGCGUCACAGGUGUGAUAACUAUCUACGCUUGUGGUUUUCCGCCAGGUAACCUCCAGCAAAUGGAGGUUCACUGGAGCUCACAAACGUCUCUCCUCGGUGAGGACAGCUCUUUGAAC
rnacentral:misc_RNA from 1 species